AAGUCGUAACAAGGUUUCCGUAGGUGAACCUGCGGAAGGAUCAUUAAUGAAAUUGCAAGGAUGCUCUCUUUAGAGGUCCGACCCAUUCUCAUUUCCUUACCCUGUGCACACACUAUUUUUAUUUACACCCACUUUAAACACCAUCAGUAUUAAGAAUGUCAUCAGUCUCUUAAUUGAGCAUAAAAUACAAUAAAACUUUCGGCAACGGAUCUCUUGGCUCCC
rnacentral:misc_RNA from 1 species